GCCAUAUGCAGAGGUCAUCCUUUACUUUAACUUUAAGGGAUACUUCAUGAAGGGAGGCGCCGUCCUUAUAGUUUAAGUAUCGUGCAGAGUCGCUUGAAGUACAGCCCGUUCCUUUACUUUAUAAAGUGAAGGUUCGCCUCUUACUAAAUUGCGAGUGAGGCCGAUCGUGUCCGAAGUUAACCGAACUUCCGUGACGUCACGAAUACGUCAUGGUUAACAGCCAAUAGGAACUGACCCACGAUUGACUUGUUUACUUUUUUGAUAACACGUUGAUUGUAGUUGGUUUGUAUUUGUUAGAUUUAUAUUCAAAUCUACCUUGAGAAUACAUCAUGACGUCCUCUCAAAAAUCCGAGCGAUUUUCAUCUAUCGAACGAAGCAUUUUGUUAGGGCUUGUUCGUUCCUGGGCACAUGUCAUCGAAUGUAAGAAGACAGACUUCAGCAACUUGGCUGCCAAGAAAGAUGCCUGGGCGCGAAUUGAAUGCGAGUUCAAUUCCCAACCUGAUGUCAUCAAGCGCUCCAGUGCCCAGCUGAAGAAAUGCUGGGAAAAUGUCAAGACCAAGCAGAAGAAAGCCCUUGCUCUUGCCACAAGACAGCGAAUGGCAACUGGUGGAGGACCUUUUGUUAAAGAUCCUCCCACAGAUCCUGAGCUGGAAAUAGCAUUGGGCGGUGUGUUGCAUUGUGUGGAUGAUGCUGUAGACUGUGACAUGACUUUUCCUUCAGAAGCUUCAGCUUCUGUAGAAAUUGUGAUGCCACAGUCUAACAAUACUGGCUCUGGUGCACUCAGUACUGGCAGCUUACUUGUGAAUGCAUCACAAGAAGAACCUCAUAGUAUUGUUCUACCAACACCUGUUUCUGGUUUUCGUGCUAGAAAUAAACCAGCAAUUGAUGUGGAGGUGGAGCGCAGGUUUUUAAACCUUGAGCGAGCCGACAAGCGUGCACGGAGAGUUCUCGCAAUGCAACAGGCUGAGCACAGGCUUAAGUUGAGAGCAAGUAAGGCAAUGGCAGAGGCAGAAGAGCAGCGCCUUGCAAACGAGCAGGCAGAAGCGGCUCGAGCAGUGGAAGCUGAGAAACGAGCUAUUAAAUUUGAGCUCAUGGCAGAACAGCGUAGGGCUGAGCUGCACGCACAGCAAAUGCGACACGCUGACGAGCUACAUAAGCUGCGCAUCAAGAUCCUCACGGAAGCAAAUGAUGUAGUGUUUUAAAAACAAUUUUUUUUUUUUGUUUUUAAGAUACUGCAUUGUUUGCUUCGCAUUAACAUGGUAAUAGGCCUCCUGGGGAACUCGCCAUUUAAAAUAAAGAGUAACGAGUUGAGUGUUAUACCUCCAGAUGUUUACCACACGUGGUAGACAUCUAAGGUGAUUUGGAAACUGGCACAGUCAGGUAAGUAUCGUCUUGUUCCAAUUAUGCUAAAUGUGCAUGCCAAUAUUUUUUAAUGGUAAAAAAGUGUCCUUUAGCUUCUCUUACUGAUCUAUUUCAAUUAAAGUUAUCUGUGACACUACUUGCAAUGUGUGGUUGCAAAUGUCUCCUGUACACCUUAUAAAUUGGGUAUUGUUCUUAUUUAUUACAAAGUGAAAUUUUUGGUGUCUA